rnacentral:tRNA from 1 species
ACCUAGCUGGUUCAGUCAGUAGAGCAUGUGACUCUUGAUCUCAGGGUCGUGGGUUCGAGCCCCACAUUGGGGG